GCAGGGUUAGAGGGGGAGAGAUAUGCUUGGGAGAAAGGAUUAUUGUACAGGUACGCAGAGAAGGUAGUAGCAGGAUCUGUACCCAUGACCCUCACACAAUUAGUAGUGCCCAAAAAGUACAGGCAAGAGUUGUUACGUAUUGCCCAAGACAUCCCUUUGUCAGGACACCUAGGCGUCAGUAGGACGAAACACCGUUUGACCCAAAACUUCUUUUGGCCAGGGGUCUUCAAAGAUAUCCGGCAGUAUUGCCAAACUUGCGAUACGUGCCAGAGGGUAGGGAAGAGAGGAGACCUAUACAAG